AUGGCUCAGGAUGAACGCUAGCUACAGGCUUAACACAUGCAAGUCGAGGGGCAGCAUUGGAGUAGCAAUACUUCAGAUGGCGACCGGCGCACGGGUGAGUAACACGUAUCCAACCUGCCGCUUACUCGGGGAUAGCCUUUCGAAAGAAAGAUUAAUACCCGAUGGUAUAAAGAGUUCGCAUGUUCCCUUUAUUAAAGAAUUUCGGUAAGCGAUGGGGAUGCGUUCCAUUAGAUAGUUGGCGGGGUAACGGCCCACCAAGUCUACGAUGGAUAGGGGUUCUGAGAGGAAGGUCCCCCACAUUGGAACUGAGACACGGUCCAAACUCCUACGGGAGGCAGCAGUGAGGAAUAUUGGUCAAUGGACGAGAGUCUGAACCAGCCAAAAGUAGCGUGAAGGAUGACUGCCCUAUGGGUUGUAAACUUCUUUUAUAAGGGAAUAAAGUGAGGGACGUGUCCCUUUUUGUAUGUACCUUAUGAAUAAGGAUCGGCUAACUCCGUGCCAGCCGCCGC
rnacentral:rRNA from 1 species